rnacentral:rRNA from 1 species
GCUGGCGGCGUGCUUAACACAUGCAAGUCGAACGGAAAGGCCCUGCUUUUGUGGGGUGCUCGAGUGGCGAACGGGUGAGUAACACGUGAGUAACCUGCCCUUGACUUUGGGAUAACUUCAGGAAACUGGGGCUAAUACCGGAUAGGAGCUCCUGCUGCAUGGUGGGGGUUGGAAAGUUUCGGCGGUUGGGGAUGGACUCGCGGCUUAUCAGCUUGUUGGUGGGGUAGUGGCUUACCAAGGCUUUGACGGGUAGCCGGCCUGAGAGGGUGACCGGCCACAUUGGGACUGAGAUACGGCCCAGACUCCUACGGGAGGCAGCAGUGGGGAAUAUUGCACAAUGGGCGGAAGCCUGAUGCAGCAACGCCGCGUGCGGGAUGACGGCCUUCGGGUUGUAAACCGCUUUCGCCUGUGACGAAGCGUGAGUGACGGUAAUGGGUAAAGAAGCACCGGCUAACUACGUGCCAGCAGCCGCGGUGAUACGUAGGGUGCGAGCGUUGUCCGGAUUUAUUGGGCGUAAAGGGCUCGUAGGUGGUUGAUCGCGUCGGAAGUGUAAUCUUGGGGCUUAACCCUGAGCGUGCUUUCGAUACGGGUUGACUUGAGGAAGGUAGGGGAGAAUGGAAUUCCUGGUGGAGCGGUGGAAUGCGCAGAUAUCAGGAGGAACACCAGUGGCGAAGGCGGUUCUCUGGGCCUUUCCUGACGCUGAGGAGCGAAAGCGUGGGGAGCGAACAGGCUUAGAUACCCUGGUAGCCCACGCUGUAAACGGUGGGUACUAGGUGUGGGGUCCAUUCCACGGGUUCCGUGCCGUAGCUAACGCUUUAAGUACCCCGCCUGGGGAGUACGGCCGCAAGGCUAAAACUCAAAGGAAUUGACGGGGCCCCGCACAAGCGGCGGAGCAUGCGGAUUAAUUCGAUGCAACGCGUAGAACCUUACCUGGGUUUAACAUGGAUCGGGAGUGCUCAGAGAUGGGUGUGCCUCUUUUGGGGUCGGUUCACAGGUGGUGCAUGGCUGUCGUCAGCUCGUGUCGUGAGAUGUUGGGUUAAGUCCCGCAACGAGCGCAACCCUUGUUCACUGUUGCCAGCACGUUAUGGUGGGGACUCAGUGGAGACCGCCGGGGUCAACUCGGAGGAAGGUGGGGAUGACGUCAAGUCAUCAUGCCCCUUAUGUCCAGGGCUUCACGCAUGCUACAAUGGCUGGUACAGAGAGUGGCGAGCCUGUGAGGGUGAGCGAAUCUCGGAAAGCCGGUCUCAGUUCGGAUUGGGGUCUGCAACUCGACCUCAUGAAGUCGGAGUCGCUAGUAAUCGCAGAUCAGCAACGCUGCGGUGAAUACGUUCCCGGGGCUUGUACACACCGCCCGUCAAGUCAUGAAAGUUGGUAACACCCGAAGCCGGUGGCCUAACCGUUGUGGGGGAGCCGUCGAAGGUGGGACUGGUGAUUAGG